rnacentral:rRNA from 1 species
UGAGUACGAGAUGCUACGGCGUCGAAGCAGUCUAUGUCAUACUUCCAAGAAAAGCUUGCACUGUCAUAAACAAAUAAUGCCUGUACCAUAACCGACACAGGUGGGUAGGUAGAGUAUACUAAGGGGCGCGAGAUAACUCUCUCUAAGGAACUCGGCAAAAUGACUCCGUAACUUCGGGAGAAGGAGUGCCUUAUUUAUAAGGUUGCAAUAACAAGAUCCAAGCAACUGUUUACCAAAAACACAGGUCUCCGCUAAGUCGUAAGACGAUGUAUGGGGGCUGACGCCUGCCCAGUGCCAGAAGGUUAAAGAAGUUGGUUAGCAUUCGCGAAGCUGAUAACUGAAGCCCUGGUGAACGGCGGCCGUAACAAUAACGGUCCUAAGGUAGCGAAAUUCCUUGUCGGGUAAGUUCCGACCCGCACGAAAGGCGUAAUGAUUUGGAUACUGUCUCGGAGAGGGGCUCGGUGAAAUAGACUUGUCUGUGAAGAUGCGGACUACCUGCACCUGGACAGAAAGACCCUAUGAAGCUUUACUGUAACUUGAGAUUGAAAUUGGACUUUAUUUGCGCAGUAUAGGUGGGAGGCGUUGAGAAUAAUCUUGCGGGAUUAUUGGAGCCAUCAGUGAGAUACCACUCUUGUAAUGUUAGAUUUCUAACUUUGGAUCAUUAUCUGGUCAAAGAACAGUUUCAGGCGGGCAGUUUGACUGGGGCGGUCGCCUCCCAAACGGUAACGGAGGCGCACAAAGGUUUCCUCUGAACGGGUAGAAAUCGUAUCUAGAGUGUAAAGGCAUAAGGAAGCUUGACUGUGAGACCUACAAGUCGAGCAGGGACGAAAGUCGGUCUUAGUGAUCUGACGGUGCUGAGUGGAAAGGCCGUCACUCAACGGAUAAAAGUUACUCUAGGAUAACAGGCUGAUCUCCCCCAAGAGUUCACAUCGACGGGGAGGUUUGGCACCUCGAUGUCGGCUCAUCGCAUCCUGGGGCGGUAGUACGUCCCAAGGGUUGGGCUGUUCGCCCAUGAAAGCGGUACGCGAGCUGGGUUCAGAACGUCGUGAGACAGUUCGGUCCAUAUCCGGUGUAGGCGUUAGAAUAUUGAGAGGAGCCUUCUCUAGUACGAGAGGACCGAGAAGGACAUACCUCUGGUGUACCAGUUAUCGUGCCAACGGUAAACGCUGGGUAGCUAUGUAUGGAGUGGAUAACCGCUGAAAGCAUCUAAGUGGGAAGCCCACCUCAAGAUAAGUAUUCUCAUC